rfam:Aedes aegypti strain Liverpool supercont1.51 genomic scaffold, whole genome shotgun sequence.
GGCUCGGUAGCUUAGUUGGUAAAGCGCUCGCCUAGCAUACAAGAGUCCUGGGUUCAAAUCCCAGCCGAGCAC